rnacentral:misc_RNA from 1 species
UACAGAGGGUGCAAGCGUUAAUCGGAAUUACUGGGCGUAAAGCGAACGUAGACGGUUGGAUAAGUCGGAUGUGAAAGCCACGGGCUCAACCUGGGAAUUGCAUUCGAGACUGUUCAGCUAGGGUGCGGAAGAGGGAAGCGGAAUUUCCGGUGUAGCGGUGAAAUGCGUAGAUAUCGGAAGGAACACCAGUGGCGAAAGCGGCUUCCUGGUCCAGCACCGACGUUCAGGUUCGAAAGCGUGGGGAGCAAACAGG